rfam:Gossypium raimondii Chr09_contig_1512, whole genome shotgun sequence.
AAUCCGUGGUGUGGGCACUUCAUUAGUAUUGACUUGAAAUGUUCCCAUGCUUCGUAUAGGGAUUCACCUUCGUAUUAUUUAAAAUUGGCGAUUUCUCGCUAUAGAAAAU